AGCAGCCGCGGUAAUUCCAGCUCCAAUAGCGUAUAUUAAAGUUGUUGCAGUUAAAAAGCUCGUAGUUGAAUUUCGGAAUCGACGGAUUGGUCGCGCCUUUGGUGUGUACUGGUCUUGCCGGUUUCUCCCUUCUGACGAACCACGAUGUCAUUAAUUUGGUGUCGUGGGGAAUCAGGACUGUUACUUUGAAAAAAUUAGAGUGUUUAAAGCAGGCAUUAGCUUGAAUACAUUAGCAUGGAAUAAUGAAAUAGGACGUUUGAUCUUAUUUUGUUGGUUUCUAGGAUCGACGUAAUGAUUAAUAGGGAUAGUUGGGGGCAUUAGUAUUCAAUUGUCAGAGGUGAAAUUCUUGGAUUUAUUGAAGACUAACUACUGCGAAAGCAUUUGCCAAGGAUGUUUUCAUUAAUCAAGAACGAAAGUUAGGGGAUCGAAGACGAUCAGAUACCGUCGUAGUCUUAACCAUAAACUAUGCCGACUAGGGAUCGGAUGAUGUUAAUUUUUUAAUGACUCA
rnacentral:rRNA from 1 species